UACGUAGGUGGCAAGCGUUGUCCGGAAUUACUGGGCGUAAAGGGCGCGUAGGCGGCCUGUUAAGUCGGACGUGAAAUCCCUCGGCUCAACCGGGGAACUGCGUCUGAUACUGGCGGGCUUGAAUUCGGGAGAGGGAUGUGGAAUUCCAGGUGUAGCGGUGAAAUGCGUAGAUAUCUGGAGGAACACCGGUGGCGAAGGCGGCAUCCUGGACCGACAUUGACGCUGAGGCGCGAAAGCCAGGGGAGCAAACGGG
rnacentral:rRNA from 1 species